UGGGGAAUAUUGCACAAUGGGCGCAAGUCUGAUGCAGCCAUGCCGCGUGUGUGAAGAAGGCCUUCGGGUUGUAAAGCACUUUCAGCGAGGAGGAAGGUGGUGAGCUUAAUACGCUCAUCAAUUGACGUUACUCGCAGAAGAAGCACCGGCUAACUCCGUGCCAGCAGCCGCGGUAAUACGGAGGGUGCAAGCGUUAAUCGGAAUUACUGGGCGUAAAGCGCACGCAGGCGGUUUGUUAAGUCAGAUGUGAAAUCCCCGGGCUCAACCUGGGAACUGCAUUUGAAACUGGCAAGCUAGAGUCUCGUAGAGGGGGGUAGAAUUCCAGGUGUAGCGGUGAAAUGCGUAGAGAUCUGGAGGAAUACCGGUGGCGAAGGCGGCCCCCCUGGACGAAGACUGACGCUCAGGUGCGAAAGCGUGGGGCAGCAAACAGGAUUAGAUACCCCUGGUAGUCCAGCGCUGUAAAACGAUGUCGAUUUGGAGGUUGUGCCCUUGAGGCGUGGCUUCCGGAGCUAACGCGUUAAAUCGACCGCCUGGGGAGUACGGCCGCAAGGUUAAAACUCAAAUGAAUUGCGGGGUCUAGCUG
rnacentral:rRNA from 1 species